GAGUUUGAUUCUGGCUCAGGAUGAACGCUGGCGGCGUGCCUAAUACAUGCAAGUCGGGCGCGAAGACCAGGAGCUUGCUCCUGAGAUUCGAGCGGCGGACGGGUGAGUAACACGUAGGCAACCUACCCUUGAGAUUGGGAUAACUACCGGAAACGGUAGCUAAUACCGGAUACGACAUUCCUGCAUAAGUAAGAAUGUUAAAAGGCGGAUUUAUCUGCCGCUCAUGGAUGGGCCUGCGGUGCAUUAGCUAGUUGGUGAGAUAGUAGCUCACCAAGGCGACGAUGCAUAGCCGACCUGAGAGGGUGAUCGGCCACACUGGGACUGAGACACGGCCCAGACUCCUACGGGAGGCAGCAGUAGGGAAUCUUCCGCAAUGGACGCAAGUCUGACGGAGCAACGCCGCGUGAGUGAUGAAGGGUUUCGGCUCGUAAAACUCUGUUGUUAAGGAAGAACACUUGAGGUAGUAACUGGCC
rnacentral:rRNA from 1 species